GGGGAAUAUUGCACAAUGGGGGAAACCCUGAUGCAGCAACGCCGCGUGAGUGAUGAAGGCCUUCGGGUUGUAAAGCUCUGUCUUCAGGGACGAUAAUGACGGUACCUGAGGAGGAAGCCACGGCUAACUACGUGCCAGCAGCCGCGGUAAUACGUAGGUGGCAAGCGUUGUCCGGAUUUACUGGGCGUAAAGGGAGCGUAGGCGGAUACUUAAGUGGGAUGUGAAAUACCUGGGCUUAACUUGGGUGCUGCAUUCCAAACUGGGUGUCUAGAGUGUUGGAGAGGAAAGUGGAAUUCCUAGUGUAGCGGUGAAAUGCGUAGAGAUUAGGAAGAACACCAGUGGCGAAGGCAGCUCACAGUAAUGUAACUGACGCUGAUGCUCGAAAGUGUGGGUAUCAAAC
rnacentral:rRNA from 1 species